UACGUAGGGGGGCAAGCGUUGUCCGGAAUCAUUGGGCGUAAAAGCGCGUGUAGGCGGCUCGAUAAGUCUGCUGUGAAAGUUCAGGGCUCAACCCUGAAAUGCCGGUGGAAACUGUCGGGCUAGAGUCCGGAAGAGGCGAGUGGAAUUCCUGGUGUAGCGGUGAAAUGCGCAGAUAUCAGGAGGAACACCAAUGGCGAAGGCAGCUCGCUGGGACGGUACUGACGCUGAGACGCGAAAGCGUGGGAGCAAACAGG
rnacentral:rRNA from 1 species